ACAAAUAGGUUCAAUUUCAUCACAAAUAGCAAAAACAAAGAGAAGAAAAGAAGAACUUGAUGGUCCAAUCUCCUCCUUGCCUCUUGCCUCUCGCCUCUCUAUUGCUUGCUUUUGCCUAUGAAAACCUUGAUAAAACUUCCUUGGGAGAGCUAGAUUUUAUAUAGGUUAAGUGAAUUUUUCUCCAAAUUUCCACUUUUUCCCCUAACAAAACCUUCUCAAAAUUUGGACUAGCGCGACGCGCACCUGGGCGCGCAUCUAGCCGUGCUAGUUGGCUGAGGAUUCUAUAUUGGACGCGCUAAAGUAGCAGGGGAACGCUAGCCCAGUUGUUCAAUUCCUCGAUUCUUUUCCUCGUCUUCAAGCGUACUCAGCUCCGAGGGGUCUUUCAUUGCUUUAAAAUGGUUCCAAGUCACAGUUUUAGGCAUAACAUAGGCUCCUUAACCUGAAAUAUAUACAAUUCACAAUUAAGGCCUAUUUUUCAUCAAUUAAUCACAAUAUGAUAUUGGAAUAUAAUCAAACGGAAGUAUAAAUAAUAGUCAAAUUACCUGGAUUUUCCUAUUAUCAAGUGGCGGGUAGAAUCCUU
rnacentral:lncRNA from 1 species